rnacentral:rRNA from 1 species
CAUGCAGUCGAGCGGAACGAGUUAUCUGAACCUUCGGGGAACGAUAACGGCGUCGAGCGGCGGACGGGUGAGUAAUGCCUAGGAAAUUGCCCUGAUGUGGGGGAUAACCAUUGGAAACGAUGGCUAAUACCGCAUGAUGCCUACGGGCCAAAGAGGGGGACCUUCGGGCCUCUCGCGUCAGGAUAUGCCUAGGUGGGAUUAGCUAGUUGGUGAGGUAAGGGCUCACCAAGGCGACGAUCCCUAGCUGGUCUGAGAGGAUGAUCAGCCACACUGGAACUGAGACACGGUCCAGACUCCUACGGGAGGCAGCAGUGGGGAAUAUUGCACAAUGGGCGCAAGCCUGAUGCAGCCAUGCCGCGUGUAUGAAGAAGGCCUUCGGGUUGUAAAGUACUUUCAGUCGUGAGGAAGGCGGCGUCGUUAAUAGCGGCGUUGUUUGACGUUAGCGACAGAAGAAGCACCGGCUAACUCCGUGCCAGCAGCCGCGGUAAUACGGAGGGUGCGAGCGUUAAUCGGAAUUACUGGGCGUAAAGCGCAUGCAGGUGGUUUGUUAAGUCAGAUGUGAAAGCCCGGGGCUCAACCUCGGAAUAGCAUUUGAAACUGGCAGACUAGAGUACUGUAGAGGGGGGUAGAAUUUCAGGUGUAGCGGUGAAAUGCGUAGAGAUCUGAAGGAAUACCGGUGGCGAAGGCGGCCCCCUGGACAGAUACUGACACUCAGAUGCGAAAGCGUGGGGAGCAACAGGAUUAGAUACCCUGGUAGUC